CUCAGUGGGAGACCAGAAGUCCUGCAGCCACUGUGCACUGAUGUCCAGAUGAAAGACAGGUCUUCGAACCAUGGCCACCCCUUCUUUGCUGUGGAAUUGCUCUUGGACCACAGCAAAGGCCCCAAGUCCGACACCCAGGACUCCCUGCACAGGGAAGAGACAGAAAGGCUGACGAGUGUGUACCGUAGAGACGGCAAAAGUGAAGAAUGUCAGAGAAUGGGGACACUGCUCUCUACCCUCCCCACUCCUGAGGGACAGUGGGGCAAGAGGUGUGCAGAGCUGCAGCACUCGCAUCCAUGCUGACUGAUGAGAUGGCCGACCUCUCUGCAGCCAUACGGCCAGGAACAGCACUGCUCAGCACAUGCCAGCCCACCCCCAGAACAUACGGGUGUGACUGGGAAUGAAGGUGCUCCAGCUUCCCCUCUGAGUUCCAGGACUGAAACUCCG
rnacentral:lncRNA from 1 species